rnacentral:SRP_RNA from 1 species
UCGGGAGGUUGGCGCGGACGUGUUCCUCGCCAACCGGGUCAGGUCCGGAAGGAAGCAGCCCCAACGAGAUCCUCACGGGUCGUUUGCCAGCCUCCUACGCA